GGUAAUAUUGCUAGUAACGGCGACGUAACCUUACAUUCUAGACAGUCCGAGCUAGCAAAUGAACGUUCGCUCGAUAGCUAGCUAACGCAAACUACACAGAUACAAUACGGAAUUGCGUUUUGAAAUUAGUCUAAUGUUAGCGUGCAAUGUUCAUGAAAAAUACUCGGUUAACUUUUUUUGACUGUGUACAGUAGUUAAUCAUCUAACUAGAAGUAUAGAUAUAAACCAGACACAACAUAGUUAUUGUAAGCGUAUUUUGUAAAUAAAUAUAGCUAUAAGUGAUGAUAACGGAACGUCUUUGUCCCAUGCCUUUUGCCAUGGUCUGUAGAUUUACCUGGCUGUAGGCCCACAACAAAAUCGCUUCAGUAGCAUCACGUGAUACAAAAGCCCCAUCUAACACAAAGCGUUCUUUUGAGUAACGUUAGGUUGUUAUAGUAGCAUAUUACAAAUUGAAUACAAAUCAAAGCAAUACCAACGUCAUCGUUUGCUCAGAAAAUGGACACUAUAGAAAGUGUACGAUUUCAAACUAUCCAUUCUGAAACAGAGAAUAGAUAUCAAAACCCACGCACUCAACAUGACGAAAAUGAAGGUAUCUUUAGUACAAAUGUGGAUGAAGAAAUUAAAGAUUAUUCCUUCACCGAAAUACAAGCUCAUGACCUAGAGCAUUAUAGAAGAUGUCAAAUAGGUAUCUCAUGUUCCCAAGAGGACUACCAAGUAGAUGUUUGCAGGAAUGUUAUAAAUCAAAUUAUAGGAGAUGGGGUGCAGACACACUGGAGUUUUUCCAGAUUAGUCAAGUGUUUCAGUGAUCGGGACUGUUCUAAAGUGAAGUUCAGCCAAGUCCUUGCUGAAUACAAGUCUGACAUUCUACCUCUCAUAAUUGAGGAAUAUGGUAGUCUUAGCCAAACUGAGAAGAAAAUGAUGUCCCUUAUUAAUCAGCUUUUGUGUGGAUUACAUUUGAUUGUUGGCUUAGCUCAUCAGGCCAAAAUAACGCUUCUACUGUGGGACAACAUGAUUUUCGGUGAGCAGUUAGUAUGCGCAGGAGCCCAUAGUCUUCGUUACGUUGGGCCAACUGAAUUGGAGUCUGGAACAGUGCGUGCUGUGAGAACACUGAGCAAUGCUUUCCAGACGCUGGAGUUUGUGGAGUUCAAAACAUUUUUGACCAGCAAAGGAGAAUUUGACGAACAGCUCUUUUCUCCAUCCAGUGUAAACAGAAUUGACAGUCUGUUUCAUAACGCUGCUGGGUUAUAUAGCAUCUGUAAUGAUUUGCUUCAGUUUACCAGUGGCUGCACAGAAAACAUUAGUUUGCUUGAGGAUGUCGCAGCUGAUUUGAAGGUUCAACAGUUCAGAGCGGGAUGCAGAGCACUUGGCCUGUUUUUCAAAUUUGUUAUUCAGCCUUUCUGGAAAGCCCUGACUUUGAGUGGAGAUUUGUUAAAGAUGAACAUAAGAUACCAAAUCUUGAUUGGAAAGCUUAAGGAAUGGCACAUAGAUGGCAAAAGCCUUGUGGAUGGAAAUGUUUGCUUGUUUGAUGACAUUGAGGUAGAAGGGGAUCCUGUCUUAGACAAGCUUACUAUGUCUAUAGACGAAGGCUGUUUCGAAUUGACAGUUCAGAUUGUCGAAUUGCUAUCCUACAGUUUUCUAAAGGUGUGUCAUCAGAUCCUGCCAAUUGAUCUAGAGCCUUCAGAUGACAUUAGAGAGAGGAAUGAUUUGGUGUCAAAGAUGGAUGAUCACAGCGGGCAGAGUUUAAAUGUCCCAUUACAUUCACAAAAGGCUAAAUCAAAUGCUACCUGUUUCGCCCUUGAAGGUAUGUUUGUAUCUAAGAGGCAUCGUUCUUGGAAAUGGCUGUCCUUAUUGGACAAAGAAAAAACUGUUUCAGUUUUAAAAACCCUGAAGCAAACUUUGAAACUGAACAAAAUCUUGAACAAAAGAAGAAAAGUUUUUGUGCGAUCAAAAUUCCCAAAUACAAAAAAUAAAAACAUGGCAGUUGACAUGGUGACAUCAGUUCAGUUGAGGCCAGCCAAGGAGAUGUCUUGGAAAGUUGAAGCUAUGACUAAAAUAAAAUCCCAGCAAUAUCACAAAUCAGCAUCAUGCUCAGGUACACUCGCAAUCAAGAAUUUUGGAAAAAGAGUGGAAGGGAAGGAACUUAAAUACGUGUCUAAGCAAAUUGCCAAUACGAAAUCUGAAGCAUUUGCGCACCAGAGCAAUAUUAGAAAGCCGGUUCAAGUAAAGCCAAAGCCUGGGCUAGAAGUAUUAGAAACAGGACCUCUACAAUGGCCCAAACAGUGUACUAGACAGGGAACACUGGUGAGGGGACAUUUGGAUGCACUUUCUAGUGUUUCUUUGUCCCCUAUGAGGGCCCGGGAUAAUGUGACCAUGGAACACUAUUUAACCCAAAAGCUGACACAGUAUGGUGGGCAGUGGAAGCACGUGAAAGACAUUGAUAAAAAUGUGGCUAUGAUAGAUGCGAAGGAUAGAUAUGCAGCAUUAGUCAGCCAGCUGUUAUUUCACAGGUUUGUUCUAGGUUUCCGCAAUAAGCACGGUGUCUUCAAUACCUCAUGUGCCGGUAGGAGGUUGCAGUUGAGCGAACUAGUGGAUAAUUUGAAACGUUCCUUAUUGACUAAACGAUGAGGAGGAGGAGGAUGUUAAAAGUGGAUGAUCACAAUAGUUUACUAUACAUUUGAUUACUGUGCAGACAAACGUGUAUUCCGUUCACAGAAAAUGCUCAUUUAAACUUAAUACUGUUACCGCAUAAAUGGAAACAAAAGGAAGCAGAAAUAACUGACUGAUCUCAGAUUUGUUCGAUCAGUUUAAAAAACACAAAUCCUGUUUCAGUGCUGAGAUGGAGUAGUGUCAACUAUUCUGCCAAAUAGACAGAUCAUGUUUUGAAAGGUCAAUAAGCUUGUUUUUGGUAAUACAUUUGCAGUGAACCACUUGUGGUUACUGUGGUGAAAAUGUUUAUAAUAUAUGUGAUAUGCAACAUUUUAGACAGCUGUACAAUUGGUAGGCUGAAAUGUCAUUUACUGUUGUGUGCAGCAACAAAGUAGUGCAUCUCUGGUAUAAGUGUAGAAGGGACAGCAUCUUAGAGGACUGCAAGUGUAUGUAAGGGUGGAGCCUCAUUUCUUUACCCUUAAAAAGAAAGGGUUUGAGUUGGUUGAUUUAGCAAUUUCCCUUGGCCUCCUGUUCACGUAUAGCUGACAUCUUGUGUAAAAAGACCAAGGUCACAAGAAAUGCUUUUUUAUUUUGGAAUGAUUGCUAGAUGUGCAACCUUGCAAGUGACUAAAUAGCCCUUUGAAAAACGUUUUGAAGUGCCUCAUUUCUUUUUGGAAACGUUGAAUAGUCAGUGUUCUUUGGUUAAAGAAGGUAUACACAUUUUUGGAAAGGACUUCUUAAUUUUUCUUCUCCAUUUUUUUCUUACAAACCAUAUAUGUUUACACCAAGACACCACAAAUUCCCUUUUUGGACACAUGACUGCUGUUGACUAGGUGGCGGAAGUUUUUUUCAUUCUGAGUGAGACUUUUUGCUGACCUGCUUCUCUGAAACGUGAGUAGCGUGACCCCAAAGGAUCAUAAAACCAAGCAACUCCCACUGGACUCAGCGUCUGGUGAAGCACAUCCAAUUCCGUUGUGGUUCUUAUCAUGCUGCUCGCUCAACAAGGACGUCUACACUGGAAUCUCUGUGCUGGAAUGAACACACACUCCGGUCCUGUGGCUCACACACCCCAAGCUGCCACAUGGAGUCAA